GAUGAACGCUGGCGGCGUGCCUAAUACAUGCAAGUCGAGCGAACAGACGAGGAGCUUGCUCCUCUGACGUUAGCGGCGGACGGGUGAGUAACACGUGGAUAACCUACCUAUAAGACUGGGAUAACUUCGGGAAACCGGAGCUAGUACCGGAUAAUAUAUUGAACCGCAUGGUUCAAUAGUGAAAGACGGUUUUGCUGUCACUUAUAGAUGGAUCCGCGCCGCAUUAGCUAGUUGGUAAGGUAACGGCUUACCAAGGCAACGAUGCGUAGCCGACCUGAGAGGGUGAUCGGCCACACUGGAACUGAGACACGGUCCAGACUCCUACGGGAGGCAGCAGUAGGGAAUCUUCCGCAAUGGGCGAAAGCCUGACGGAGCAACGCCGCGUGAGUGACGAAGGUCUUCGGAUCGUAAAACUCUGUUAUUAGGGAAGAACAAAUGUGUAAGUAACUAUGCACGUCUUGACGGUACCUAAUCAGAAAGCCACGGCUAACUACGUG
rnacentral:rRNA from 1 species